rnacentral:rRNA from 1 species
UACGUAGGGUCCGAGCGUUGUCCGGAAUUAUUGGGCGUAAAGAGCUCGUAGGCGGUUUGUCGCGUCUGCUGUGAAAUCCCGAGGCUCAACCUCGGGCCUGCAGUGGGUACGGGCAGACUGGAGUGCGGUAGGGGAGAAUGGAAUUCCUGGUGUAGCGGUGGAAUGCGCAGAUAUCAGGAGGAACACCAAUAGCGAAGGCAGCUCGCUGGGACGGUAUUGACGCUAAGGCGCGAAAGCGUGGGGAGCAAACAGG